UGUUUGGACACUAAUAGUUUAUUUUAUUACUUGUUUUAAUUCAUUUCUUCUUAGCAUUAGUUUUUUUUAUUUCAAUUAUAAAUUAAUGUUAAAUUAUAGUUAAGACUGUCUUAAACUACUAUAAAUAAAUAGUUUUAAUUAUAUUUUUGAGGGAGUAAUAAUAUAAUUAAUUCUAUUUUAUGUUAAUUCUUCUCUCUUCCAUUUAAAUUCUUAAAUUCUUUAUUUAUUUCUCUCUUAAUUCUCUAAUCAAACCCUUAAAAUUCUACCAUCUGGUAUUAGAGCACAUCCUUCCUGCCACAAUUUUUAUUUUUCCAUUCACUUUUGCCAAUAUCUCUUGGCUUUCGACUGGAGAUUUAAACCGGACCCACCCUCUAAACUUUUUCCAACAUCUAAACUUUUUUAACCGAACCUGAAUUUUCUUGAGAGUUUUUUUGAGGCAUCAUGAUUUUUAAGGAGCUUGAAGGCAAAGUUCAACAGUUGUCUCAACAGUUUCAUGACAAAGUUACAACCAUCGAUGAAAAGGUUACGACCUUCGGCAAGCAAAAUAACGAUCUGCAGAAACUCAUGAAACAUCUUUCAGCAAUUGAGCCAGUUGCGAAAAGGAAAACAACCAACUACUGAUCAAAGACAAGUUGAUAUAUUUACUGGAGGGACCUUUGCUCCUCAAAUGGUAAUUGCUGCCCAACCACCUAUUGAACCUGGCGAACGCAUUGGAAGUACUCUCAUGCAAGCUUGUAACAUAUGACUUGACUUUCCUAUUUUUCAUGGUGACAAUCCAACGGGAUGGAUUUUUCGAUAUGAGCAAUGUCGUCGCCUUACUGGAUUAUCAGAUGUUGACUUAUUGUCCUUAGCUAUUGGCCAUCUUGAUGGUGAUACUGUACCUUGCAACUAGGGAUGGCAAAAUAACCCGGACCCGGACGAACCCGGAUAAUUCGGGCCGGGUUGAACCCGUAUCGGAGAGUAAAAAAAGCCGGAUCCGAAAUGGGUUUUAAUAACCCGGAUGAAUCCGGGUCCGGGUUUGGGGUAACCCGUGUAUCCGGAACUCGAACCCGGAUUCAUUUUUUAUAUUAUUUUUAAUUAUAUUUAUUAGUAAAUAUAAAUACAAAUAUUAAAAAAAAACCUAAUUCUAUUUCACAAGUCAAAGGCGUCAAACACACAAAUCGCGAUUUACACAAACAAGACAAACCCUAGCUGUGCCGCCGCUGCCGCCUUCCGCCUUCCGCUGUCCCGCAAGCAAGUCAAACAACUCUCGGCUAGGUUCGCCACCGUCGCAAGGUCGGUUCGCUGUCGUCGCAAGGUUGGGUUCGCGGUUCGUCGCAGCUUGUUUGGUUCACCAGAAUCACCACCGUCGCAUGCUUGCAGCAGUGCAGUUCCUCAAUUCGUUUGAUUCACCGGCGUGAGUAGCUGUUAUACUCUGUUUUAUGUGAUUUGUGCUAUGUGAUUUGUGAUAUUGAUUUGUGUUGUGUUAUACUGUUGUGAACACCACUGAUUUAUGUGAUUUGUGCUAUGUGAUUUGUGAUAUUGAUUUGUGUUGUGUUAUACACUUAUAUUGCCGUGAACACCACUAAUUUAUGCUUGAAAUGUUGUUGAUUGUUGGUGUUAAUAGAUUCGAAAUUGUAUAUUUCAAAUGUUAGAAAGCUGUUACAGUUAAAAAUAAAUUGUUGUUGUUAAUGGAUUUGUUGCUGUUAAUAGAUUCAAAAUUGUAUAAUUCAAAUGUUAGAAAGCUGUUACAGUUAAAAAUAAAUUGUUGUUGUUAAUGGAUUUGUUGCUGUUAAUAGAUUCGAAAAUGUAUUUUUGAAAUGUUAGAACUUAGAACAUUGUUACAGACUUACAGUAAAAAAAAUAAAUAUAAAAUGGAAGAAAUUGGAGGAAUGAUUGGUUAGUUUAAUUUGUUUUGACAUAAUUCUUGUAGGGUGUUAAAUUCAUAAUGGAAAAUGAACAAAGGUAUGGAAAAUUUAUUUAUUACAUAAAAUAAAUUAAUUUGUUAUAGUAUCAAUUUAUUACUAACUAACUGUUUUGUUCUUAUUUUUAUGAUUUAUUCAUGUUUUUUAGAUGGAAUUCCAGAGGAAGCAAUACUUUCUGCAGAACAGCUUAUUGAUGAAAGUUUGAUGAGUGAGUUGUGAACAACGAUGAGUCAAGUGAAGAAGAAUAGAAAAUGAUGGAGAAAAGUUUAAACUUUGGAUUUGUGGUUUUUAAUUUGAACUUUGAAUUGUAGACUUGUGUAAUUGUGUUAUGGAUUUAUAUUUGUGGCUGUUUUAUUACUUGAAACAGCCGUUUGAAUUGUAGAGUUUGCAAACUAGCUGUUUGAAUUGUAGAGUUUGCAGAGAGUUGAUUAAUUGUGAUUUGUGAGCACUGGACUAUUAUGCCAUAAUUGUGAUUUGUUGUUUAAGUCUUAAUUAUUAAGUGCUGGGAUGGCCUUUGAAACAUUGAGAAUUUGAGAUAUUGUGAUUUCUGAAGAGUGAUUGCUUCUGUCAAUGUUUAGGAGUUAGUUUAAAGCUUGUUGGUCAUCGUGCAAAGUAUGGAUUGUAUGGUUAUCUUGAUGAUGUUGGUGGUAGACAAUUAUAUAGGUUUAGAAACUUCAUGUGGUAGAGAAAAGCUUGGGGACAUUCUCCAAUCCUCUAAGCUAUGUUGCAGGGGCUGUUUGUCCAGUUUUGACCUCAUCUUUUUGUUUUUGUUAAUAUUUCCUUUAGUUACAUUAGUUGUGUUUUGGUUCUAUCACUAACAAUGAAAGUGAAAUUUGAAAUUUCAUUAUUGAUCCGGGUUCAAAACCCGGAAUCUGAGAACUCGGAUUUUUCCGGGUUGAACCCGGACCCGGAUGGAAAAAAUCGGGUUUUAAUCUGGGUCCGGGAGAAAGAAAAUGACAUCCGGGUCCGGAACCGAGAAGGCUAAACCCGGACCCGGAUUUUGCCAUCCCUAACCUUGGUUUAAUUGGAUAGAGCAAAUUAUGGGCGAAAUGACUUGGGCGCAAUUUAAACGGGCUUUGACUACUCGAUUUGGGACAUUAAAAGCGAAUAAUGCAGUUGGCAGUCUUACCAAACUACGUCAAAUACGGACCGUUCUUGACUAUCAACGACAAUUUGAAAAGUUGGCUGAUCAGACUAGCAAUUUAACUGAGUCUUUCUUUAUUAGUUGUUUCCUCUAUGGGUUGCGUGAAGAUAUCAAGGCUGGCGUACAACUGUUCAAACCUGUUAGUCUCGUACAAAUUUUUGAACUUACUAGGUUUAGUAAAAGACAAUUACUUUGCAAGGCAAUCGUUUCCAUAUUCCUGCCAUCCAAGAUCUAGUCCCACAAUUACAAUCGACUCCUAUUCCACCAGCACCCUCUUUAUUAGGACCAAUUUCCUCUACCUUACCUAAUAAUGUCAAACGUUUAUCUUCAGCUGAGCAGACAGAAAGACGUUUUGAAGGGCUUUGUUUCAACUCUGACGAGUAAUUCAAGCCUAAACAUCGUUGCAAACAAUCUCAACUAUUGCUUUUAGACGCUGAUAUACUUCUUCACAACCCUCCAAAACCGCUUGACCAUCAUUCGGAUUGGAAGAUCUCGGUUAUUGUGACUGGGUAAAAGGCUUGCAGACAAGCCUGUUUUAAGAGGCAGGGAAUGUUAGGACCCUAAUAAUUUAUUUUAUUGCUUGUUUUAAUUUCUUUCCUAUUAGUAUUAGGUUUUCUUAUUUCAAUUAUGAAUUAAUGUUCUUAUUAAAUUAAAAUUAGGACCGUCUUGAACUACUAUAAAUAAUUGGUUCUUAUUAUAUUAUUGAGUGAGCAAUAAUAAAAUUAAUUCUAAUCUCAAUUAAUUCUUCUCUCUUCCCUCUGAAUUCUUAAACUUUUCAUCUAUUUCUCUCUUAAUUCUCUAAUCAAAACCUCAGAAUGUUGGAGAAGACGAUUUACACACAUACAAGAUAAUAAAGGCAUUUAAAUCACCUAAUUAAGUUGUAUAGGGAUAAAUAAUUAAAUUACAAAAAGCUCGACAUAUACUGAAAAAUAAAAAAGAAAUUGAACAAAGUCAUAAAUUUAUUGACAUCUACAUUCUGAAAAUUAGUGUGUGUCUUCAGUAGGGAAAGUUAUCAUUUGCAUACGGUUAUUUUUAUUGAUAUUUUUUUUUAUAUUAAUCACGAGGUAUCCUGGGGAGGGCCCCAACUGUGGGAGACACCUUUAAGCCCGUACCACAACCCAGACUAGAAGUCCCCGCUCGAACCGGGAGGCAUAGUUCUCCCAACAAAGGUUUUUUUUUAUUGAUAUUAAAUACCUCUAUUUUAUGUUCAAUUGGAAGGAAUUCUAGGCUGUUCAGUUUUCUACUUACGGAACUAUCACGAUCGUUGUUAUUGAGAAAAUUGUGGCAAUUUUUUUGAUUGAUCAUGAUGAUUUUCUUACGUGGCAGGCUCGGUGAUGCUGUUAUUUCGCGGAGCAUUUCGAUGCCUGCUCUAUACUGGUAAUUUUCGCUGGGAAGCAAGUAAUGAGAGGGCCGAGAUAGGAAGGAACACGCUCGUCAAAGCUUUAAAAGAUGAUGUAGUAUAACACAUUGCAAUCCAUCAUAUGCUUUUCCUUCACAACUAGUUGCAGCUCAACAGGUACACUUUUUAAAUUUCUCAUCUACGUUAUCUUUACUUUUUUUUUGUUAAUUUAAAACCCCCAGGAUGGUGGGGGGCUUAGGCAGGAUCCCUACUUAUAAUAUAAAUCCGAAAAUGGUACAAGUACAAAGGAGGGGGACAACGACUAAUAUCUCCUAGAAAAAUUGAAAGGAAAAGAUAAAAGAACUAAAAGAAGACAAAUGGACGACAGAAACGCAGCGCCCACUGCCGUUUCACGAGUUUCCUUUGUCUUCUUUUAGUUCCGCGUGGGACCAUAAUAAAUAAUAAAAUAAAGAAUCCUAACAUAUAUAAAACACAUUUAGAAAUUGUCAUAAUUUAUUCCAUUAUUUCCAGCCAUUUAAAUUAAGAAAAAUCCUAACAUAUAUAAAACACAUUCAAAAAUUGUUAUAAUUUAUUCCAUUAUUUCCAGCCAUUUAAAUUAAAAAAAAUCCUAACAUAUAUAAAACACAUUCAGAAAUCGUUAUAAUUUAUUCCAUUAUUUCCACCCAUUUAAAUUAAAAAAAUCAUAACAAUUUAAAUAUAUAAAAAAACAAAAAUCUACGAAUUUUUACAAUUUAAAUUAAAUAUUCUAACCAUUUAAAUAUAUAGAGCACAACAAAAAUUUUAUUUGAAUGUAAUGAGAGUCACCAACUUACCAAUUAAUCAGUACCAAUUUUAUCAAGUUGCCUCUGUUUGCAGAUCCAGAUAUAACUUCUUCCUUGUGAUAAGCGAGAUGCAAAGAGGGAACCGAUUUUUCCUUGUUAAAUGUAGAUGACUCACGUUAAAUGAGAGGUGAGAGAUGGAGAGAGAGAAGACAACAAGAAAAAUCGGAACUAAAAAAGUGCUGCUAUUGUCAUCUCUUUUCGUUACUUUUGUGGUUUUUUUUAUUAUUUUAAUAUUUUUUUAUUAUUUUAUUUUUUAAAUAAAAAAAUAACUGACAAAGGAUGAUGAAUGGAGUUGAAGCAACAGACAAAGAGACCCACGUUUUUGUCGUUCCUUUAUCGUCAAAGAGUUCAAAUAGCAGAACUCAAAUUGAAAAACAAGUAUAACAUAGGCGAAAAGGAAUAAAAGAAAAGUCAAGCUAGCGCCUGAUAUGCGGAACUGCAUACGCGUCUAGAUGGAGAAUUAGGGAUGGCAAACAGCGGGCCUGGGCCAGGCUUUUUCAAGCCCAUGUCUAGGCCCUUUGUUAGCUAAGUGUACGGGCUUGGGUCGGGCCAGCCCCAUGGCGGGCCUGGGCUGGGCUUGAGCUUUAUUUAUUUAUUUUAAAUUUGUUAAAUUAUUGUAAAUUUGAAAUAAAUUAAUGAUCAAUAAGUUAUUACAAUCAUAGAUAAAUUAAAGAAAAUGAAUAUUUCAAAUUAAAAUAAUAAAUAAAGCAAAUAAAAACUCAUAACUUUAAUUUUCUUUAAUACUGAUUUUUUAAUUCAAACGCUCUUUUAAUUAAUUGACACAAAAGAAAAAAUUUAGUAUCAUUAUUUUGGUUUUGGGUAAAAGCUCGUUUAGUCCCUAUAUUUUGAGUUUAGUGUUCGUUUAGUCCCUAUAUUUUUAAAAAUACCUUAAAGCAUCCCUAUCAUUAAAUUAUUGACAUCCUUGCCAUUACCUUUUGUUCAUUUUAACUUAUUUUUACAAUAUUAUCCUAUUACAAUAAUGUUCCUUUUUUUAAACAUUAUUAAAAAGAAAAUUUAAAUUACCAGUUUAACACCAAAAAAUAAAAUAAAAACAAUAUAUAUAUUAAUUUUUGUGGAACACUCUGCUGAGAAGUUAAAAUAUUAAUUUUUUUUAAAAUUGAUAAUUUAAUUUUUUACAAAAUUAAUUUUUUUUGGACACACAUGAGCUUCCAGAAAAAUUAAUAUAUAUCUUUUUUGUUUUUUAUUUUAUUUUUGGGUUUAAUUUGAUAAUCCGAUUUUUUUUAUUAAUAUCUAAAAAAGAAAUAUUACUGUAAGAGUGUAAAAUUGUAAAAUCAUGCUAAAAAAAUAAAAAAUAAUGGCAUAAGUGUCAAUAUUUAAUAGUAAGGACGUUUUGAGGUAUUCUUAAAAAUAUAGGGAUUAAAUGGGCACUAAGCUCAUAAUAUAGGGACUAAACAAGCUUUUACCCUUUAGUUUUUUUAAUCAUAAUUGAUUUAUAAGUUAAGAAUUUAAAUUUUUUAAACUUUUAAAUUACUUUUUAAUUUUAAUUAUAUUAUUUUAAUUUAUAAAAUUAUUUUUUUAAAAAAUAAUGGACUUAAACUUUAUCCGGGCUUUUCUUGAGCCCUUACCCAGUUCUUCAUGGGUGAGGGAGGGCCUGGGCUAGACCCGAACGGACUUGGGCCGGCCCAGAUUUUUUUACCAUCCCUACGGAGAAUGCUGUGAAAACCAGCAGGAUUGUCCCUGGGGCUCAUAAACCGACAAUGCACCUUAUGAGUACAAACCCAAUUGGCUGGAAAAUCAGUAGCAGAAGUAGCCUCCCAAAAUACACGACGGACCAAGAUAUUAGUUGAAGAAGCCAUACUACGGACACGUCGCAAAAGGUAUAUGUAAUCCCACGACACCUGGCAAUCGGACCGAAUCCAUGCGCCUAUGGUAGCAGAGUCCGAUUCUACCUGCAAUAUAGAAUGGCCGAGGUGAGCUGCAAGCUCUAAGCUCUCAUGAACAGCCAUAAGCUCUAUGUAAAGGAUCGGACGAUAACCUAGGAAUGAUCCAAAAGUGCCUAAGAGCUCUCCCCAAGAGUCACGUAAAAUGCCCCCUGAAGCAGCCAUCCCUGGGUUUCCCCUAGAGCAUCCAUCCACUGUCAACUUCACCACCCCCGGAGGUGGUCGAAUCCAAGAAAUCAGCCGAAGUGGUCUCCUAUGCCGUGUAACAACACGCCAUCCCUCCACUAAUCUACUAUCCAGGACGCCGCGCAGUUGGGAUGUUUUAAAACCGAAAGCAAAGCUGGCCAGCUUAAGAUCUGAAACUACUCGAAAAAUGACCGCAUCUACUGAAAAUGCCACUGAAUCAAAUCUGUAAGCAUUUCGGGCCUUCCACACGUGCCAGAGGAUGAAACAAGGAAGGAGAACUCGAAUAUGGUUCCGGGAAGGAGCACAUCGCCUCCAGUGGCGAAGCAGCGCAUGAGGGGAGCGUUAUCUUUACUUGAUUUGCAAUGAGGUAAAGAAGUCAAUUGGGUAAUUUUUUUCUGUGAGAGUGAAUUGCGGCAAACGUGAGCAAAUUUUGCAUCAUUGUGCAUUUUGUUGUAGAAUGAGGAGAGCCAAUUUUCCUGACUAUCUAGACGAGUCUUUAGUUGAAUCUCUCCAUGGCCAUAAGUGGCCGGCAUAGACCAAAUCCUGAAACUGGUCAUGGUCCAAUAUGCAGACCACUCUGACUAUGGUCAAGACACUGGAAAAUGGUGAACGUUGACUAAGUUUUGAAAGUUAUCAAAAUUUAAUAAUAUCAUGUUUCUGAUUUCUAAUCAUGUUUUUUUAUUUCGAAGAUUUCAGUUUUGACAAUUUGACUAAAUAAAUAUGCGGGUUAAAAUUUUCAUGAUCUAAAAAAAUGUAACGAGAACUAAUAAAAUUUAUUAUUUUAUUACGGUUUAUAUCAUUUGAAAUGUUUAUUCAAUAUAAACGAUAUGUCCGGCCUUGUGGUGGCUGGUGGGUGCAAUUUGAGAUGGUAAAAUUUUUUUAUUUUGAAGACAAGAUGUGAAUCCCAUUUAGUAUUAUUAUUAAAUUAAGAAGUAUAAAGAAGUCAAGCAACCAAGAAACCAUAAAGAAGUCAAACAGGCUAGAAGCCGUAAAGAAGUCUAGAAACCAUAAAGAAACCAAAUAUCAUAAACUAAAGAAAAGAUAAAAUAGAGAGUAAUAACAGCAGCAAAAAAAACAGAGAACAGUAGCUUAUUUGUUUGCCACAACAGAUCUAAUACUUGUCCGUUUGUAAUCAUAUGUUUGCUGUUGUUCUCUGUUUAUUGCAGCUGCUAUUACUCUCAUUUUAGCUUUUCCUUAGCUUAUGAUCUUCGGUUUCUAUAUGGCUUCUUGGCUGCUUAACUUCUUAACGUCUCCUACGUGUUUGACUUCUUUAUGGUUUACCCCAAAAUGACCGAAGUGUUCCACAUUUAUGUAUUUUAAAGAGGAUCGUUCUUCUUCUCUAUGUCUGUCUGUCUGGCUGUUGUCUUUCUCUUAUGAGCAAUAAAACAGUACAUGAUAUGUAAAUUAUUUUUCACUCAAGUAUCUAUCUUGACAGCACAGAAUUUGUUGUUGUUGCAACAGCCAUGGAAAUCAUCAAGAACAAUUCAUGGUUGAUGCUUUUUGUUCUUUUUAUGUGCUUUUCACUCAAAUCCCAUGUCUCCUUCGGAGCUGACACCGUUUCUGCAAACCAAUCUCUCUCUGGCGAUCAAACGAUCGUUUCUAAAGGUGGGGUCUUUGCAUUUGGUUUCUUCAACCCAGCUCCUGGUAAGUCUUCAAACUAUUACAUAGGCAUGUGGUACAAUAAAGUCUCUGAAAGAACUAUAGUUUGGGUAGCCAACAGAGAACAGCCAGUCUCUGAUAGAUUCUCUUCGGUUUUAAGAAUCUCAGAUGGUAACUUAGUUCUUUUUAAUGAGUCCCAACUACCCAUUUGGUCCACAAAUUUGACCGCUACCAGCAGACAUUCUGUGGAAGCAGUUCUUUUAGAUGAAGGAAAUCUUGUUUUGAGAGAUUUGUCAAAUAAUUUGUCAGAGCCGUUAUGGCAAAGUUUUGAUCAUCCAGCUCAUACUUGGAUUCCUGGUAUGAAGCUGACGUUCAACAAGAGAAACAACGUCAGUCAACUUAUCACUUCAUGGAAGAACAAAGAAAAUCCUGCACCGGGUCUCUUCUCCCUUGAGCGAGCACCAGAUGGAUCAAAUCAAUAUGUUAUGUUGUGGAAUAGGUCUGAGCAGUACUGGUCAAGUGGACCUUGGGAUGAGAAUGCAAAAAUUUUCAGCAUGAUCCCUGAAAUGAAUCAAAACUAUAUCUACAAUUUCAGCUAUGUGUCGAAUGAAAACGAGAGCUAUUUCACCUACAAUGUGAAAGAUAGCACUUACACAUCUCGAGCGUUUAUGGAUGUUUCAGGACAGGUUAAGCAGAUGAAUUGGUUGCCUACCAACUCUUGGUUUCUGUUUUGGUCCCAACCAAGACAGCAAUGCGAGGUUUAUGCUCUUUGUGGUCAAUUUAGCACCUGCAAUGAGCAAACUGAGCGUUUUUGUUCUUGUUUGAAAGGUUUUCAACAAAAAUCGGUGAGUGACUGGAAUUUGGAAGAUUAUUCUGGUGGUUGUGUGAGGAAAACCCCGCUGCAGUGUGAAAAUAAUAGUCCUGCCAAUGGAAAAAGCGACCAAUUUUUCCAGUACAGUAACAUGAAAUUGCCUAAACAUCCACAAUCUGUGGCAGUAGGGGGUAUCAGGGAAUGUGAAACACACUGCAUGAAUAACUGCUCUUGCACUGCUUAUGCUUACAAUGACAAUGUUUGCUCGAUUUGGGUAGGAAGUUUUGUGGGUCUGCAACAGCUGCAAGGAGGUGGAGAUACCAUUUAUAUCAAGCUUGCAGCUUCUGAGUUCGAGAGUCCCAAGAACAACAAGGGAGUAGUCAUUGGCGGUGUUGUGGGCUCAGUGGCUGUCGUAGCUCUUAUUGGCCUGAUCAUGUUUGUAUACUUGAGAAGGAGAAAGACAGCAACUGUAGCAACCGAAACUGUGGAGGGUUCUUUGGUGGCAUUUGCAUACAAGGAUUUGCAAACUGCCACAAAGAAUUUCUCUAAAAAGCUGGGGGGAGGAGGUUUUGGUUCAGUUUUCAAAGGGGUGUUUCCGAAUUCAAGUCUCAUAGCUGUGAAGAAGCUUGAAAGCUUGAGCCAAGGAGAGAAGCAAUUUCGGACUGAAGUCAGAACCAUAGGGAAUAUCCAACAUGUCAAUCUGGUUCGGCUUCUGGGUUUCUGCUCUGAAGGUACUAGUAGGUUGUUGGUCUACGAUUUCAUGCCAAACGGUUCUUUAGACUCUCAUCUCUUCACUGAAAAAGAUUCAGCCUUUCUUGAUUGGAAGACAAGAUAUCAAAUUGCAAUGGGGACAGCCAGAGGUUUGGCUUAUCUCCAUGAGAAGUGCAGAGACUGCAUCAUACACUGUGACAUAAAGCCAGAGAACAUUCUGUUAGAUGCUGAAUUUUGUCCCAAAGUAUCGGAUUUUGGGCUGGCAAAGCUUGUUGGGAGGGAGUUCAGCCGUGUCCUAACAACCAUGAGAGGAACAAGAGGUUACCUUGCACCUGAAUGGAUUUCAGGAGUGGCCAUAACAGCCAAAGCGGAUGUCUACAGCUAUGGAAUGAUGCUGUUUGAAUUUGUAUCAGGAAGGAGGAACUCCCACGAAUCUGAAGAUGGUAAAGUGAAGUUCUUCCCAUCUUGGGCUGCUAAACAAAUAGUUGAAGGCAGCAAUCUCAUUAGCCUAUUAGACCCAAGACUGGAGGGCAACGCUGACGAAGAAGAGCUUGCAAGACUUUGCAAUGUGGCUUGUUGGUGCAUCCAAGAUGAUGAGACUCACAGGCCAUCAAUGGGUCAAGUAGUUCAAAUUCUUGAGGGAGUUUUGGACGUGACACUGCCUCCAAUUCCCAGAGCUCUCCAAGUAAUGGUCGAUGACCAUGAGCACGUAGUCUUCUUCACUGAAUCAUCCUCAUCUCAGAGUUCCCUGUCAAAGAGCAACAAUUCAACUGCUUCAUCUCAAGCAAAGAGUACCACAUCAUCAAGAAGUUCUUAAAUCGGUGCGAAGAAAAUACUUUCACAUUUGUGUUUAAGAAUGUAUAUUUGGAUAGAAGCCUUGCUUCGUAGUGUAUAAUAAAAAUCACGAGGCAACAUUGAGAAUUUCGGAGUUGAGUGUAACACAAUUAAUCCUCAACAAAUAUAUUAAAGCGAUUACAUUUCCUGUCUCUCGUCUCAUGCAUGUUACUGCUGAUUGCCUUUGAUAUUUUAAACCAAUUUUGAUUCACCAAAUAAUCAAUCAAUUAAUUUACUUGCUCUAUAUUCUCAUAACUUAUCCAUUACAGAUUUCCAAUGCGGACUCAAGUAUGGAGUUUUUCUAGCCUCAUAUUUGCAUUCGUAAUUAUCACGUCACAUGUACAAGAGAAUGAUUUGAUAUACAAUUGAACAGAUAUUAAUGAAUCUAGAGUAGUUUCAAAUUAGUCAUCGACAUAAUUGAUGCUAAAAUAAUUUCUAAGAGACAAAUUUUAAUCUCAAAUCCCCCAAAAAAAGAGUAGAUAAUUAAAAAAAAAAAAGCACGAACAAUUGCAAAAAGCUAUUUUUUAUAGUUUCACUUCAGUUCACAGCCUCCUCAUAUCGAGAAACAGCUUCUGAUCAAGCUCAAACUCUUGAAACAGAUUAUUUGUUACAUAUUUUUCAUGAACCAACUGGUCAACAUUGUUGAACUGUCGAUAUUUUUAUUGACUUCAAUUGACUAACAAGUUUCCUUCUUUUCUUGAAGGAUGGCUUUGACGGCGUUUCUUGAAGGAUGACUUAGACCUUUCGUUGAUUCGCGUCCUCGAUAUUGGUUCGUGGCAUUCAAUCUCCCUGAUCUCGCCGUCUUCCGGAGAGAAGACGUUUGUCGAAGUUAUCGCAAUCGACGCUUGCCAUUGUCCUGGUAAGUCAUGGUUAAGCUAACAGUAACAAUAACGGCAUUGAUAACUGUUAGAACGCUAAUAGUUUAUUUUAUUACUUGUUUUAAUUCAUUUCUUCUUAGCAUUAGGUUUUUUUUCAAUUAUAAAUUAAUGUUAAAUUAUAGUUAGGACUUAAGGAUGACAAUGGGGCAGAUAUGGGUUGGAUUUACUCUGCUCCAGAUCCAAAUCCAUAAUAAAAAUCAAAAUCCGUAUAUGCUCCAGAUCCGUCAUGAAUCUAUAUUUUUCGUUCCAUAUCUAGAUCCAAAAAAGAAAUAAAUAUCUAUAUCUGCUCCAAAUUCGCAAAAAAAAUUAAAAUCCAAAUCUGCUCUAGAUCCGUCAUGAAUUCUAAAAUUCAGUAAUAAAAAAGUAAUAAUUUUUUAGAUUGAAAAUUGAAGGCUAAAAUGUAUUGAUAACAAAUAAAUUAUAUAAUUUUUCUCAAAAAUAUAAUAAAUAUUGUAGCUUAUACUUUUACACCAAAACAACAAAUAAGAAAGAUAAUAAAAUAUCAUUCAGAAGUAAUUGCAGAAAUAAGAUCAAUCUAAUAUUCUAUUAUCUCCUUCAUCAUUCUAUUAUUUACGAAAUACCUACCCUUAUUCCUACAACAUUAGAUAAUGACAUAUAAAUUAAAUAUGAUUUAUAUUCAAUCCUUUAUUAUUUUUAUUAUGACCAUAUUUGACUAAAUAUAUGAAUAACUAUAUUCCUUAAAAAUUAUUUAGCAAAUAUAAUAAAAUAAAUUGCCAGGUUAUAUUACUUGGCUUGCAAUUUGAAUAUUGCAUGUACACGUUUUGGGGUUGGCUGACCUUUAAAUUUACAAAACAAACUUUUAAGUUUUAAGAGUUUAAAUGCAUGGUAAAUACUACUAAUAUGCUAUGAAUAAAAUUUAUUAUCAUUAUAAUUCUACAAUUGUUAAGAAACUUUUAAAAUAAAAUAAAAUUAAAAGAUGAGUGGAUAUGGAUAUAGAUUUAGAUAUUAAGAUAUAUCCAUAUCUGCUCCAGAUUCAUCUUAGAUCCGCACAUCGAUAUCCAAAUCCGAUAUAAAUCUAUUUUAAAUCGAUCCAAAUCCGAUCCGAUUGAAUUUGGAUCACGUGAAUCUUGGAUCAGAUCCAAUCCAUUGCCAUCCCUAUUAGGACUUUCUUAAACGACGAUAAAUAAAUAGUUUUUAUUAUAUUUUUUAAAAAGUAAUAAUAAAAUUAAUUCUAAUUUCUGUUAAUUCUUUUCUCUUCCCUCUGAAUUCUUAAAUUCAUUAUCUAUUUCUCUCUUAAUUCUCUACUCCAAACCUUAGAAUCCUACCAUGUGGUAUUAGAGCACAUCCUUCCUGCCACAAUUUUUUUCCGUUCACUAUUUAAAAAAAAAAGUCAUCAACCAAACUUUUGCCAAUAUCUCUUGGCUUUUGACUGGAGACUUAAACCGGACCCACCCUCUAAACUUUUUCCAACAUCUAAACUUUUUCAACCGAACCUGAAUUUUCUCGAGAGUUUUUUUGAGGCAUCAUGAUUGCUAAGGAGCUUGAAGGCAAAGGUCAACAGUUGUCUCAACAGUUUCAUGACAAAGUUACAACCAUCGAUGAAAAGGUUACGACCUUAGCCAAGCAAAAUAACAAUCUGCAGGAACUCAUGAACGACAUCCUUAAGCAAUUGAGCUAGUUGCAAAGAGGAAAACAACCGACUGCUGAUAAAAGACAAGUUGAUAUAUUUACUGGAGGGACCUCUGCUCCUCAAAUGGUAAUUGCUACCCAACCACCUCUUGAACCUGCCGAACGCAUUAGAAGUACUCUCAUGCAAGCUCGUAACAUAUGACUUGACUUUCCUAUUUUUCAUGGUGACAAUCCAACCGGAUGGAUUUUUCGAUAUGAGCAAUAUCGUCGCCUUACUGGAUUAUCAGAUGCUGACUUAUUGUCCUUAGCUAUUGGCCAUCUUGAUGGUGAUAUUGUACCUUGGUUUCAUUGGAUAUAGCAAACUAUGGGCGAAAUGACUUGGGUGCAAUUUAAACGGGCUUUGAAUACUUGAUUUGGGACAUUAGAAGAGAAUGAUGCAGUUGGCAGUCUUACCAAAUUACGUCAAAUAGGGACCGUUCUUGACUAUCAACGGUAAUUUUAAAAGUUAGCCAAUCGGACUAGCAAUUUAACUGAAUAUUUCUUCAUCAGUUGUUUCCUUUCUGGGUUACAUGAAGAUAUCAAGGCUGGCGUGCAACUGUUCAAACCUGUUAGUCUCGUUCAAACUUUUGAACUUGCUAGGUUUAAUAAAAGACAAUUACUUUGCAAGGCAAUUGUUCCCCCGUUCCUGCCAUCCAAGAUCUAGUCCCACAAUUACAGUUGACUCCUACUCCACCAGCACCCUCUUUAUUAGGACUGAUUUCCUCUACCUUACCUAAUAAUGUCAAACGUUUAUCCUCAGCUGAGCAGACAGAAAGACGUUCUGAAGGGCUUUGUUUCAAGUAUGACGAGCAAUUUAAGCCUGGGCAUCGUUGCAAACAAUCUCAACUAUUGCUUUUAGACGUUGAUAUAACUCUUCACAACCCUCCAAAACCGCUUGACCAUCAUUCGGAUUGGAAGAUCCCGAUUAUUGAGACUGGGUAAAAGGCUUGCAGACAAGCCUAUUUUAAGGGGCAGGGAAUGUUAGGACCCUAAUAAUUUAUUUUAUUACUUGUUUUAAUUUUUUUUCCUAUUAAUACUGGGUUUUCUUAUUUUAAUUAUGAAUUAAUGCUCUUAUUAAAUUACAAUUAGGACCAUCUUGAACGACUAUAAAUAAGUGGUUCUUAUUAUAUUUUUGAGGGAGCAACAAUAAAAUUAAUUCUAAUCUCAGUUAAUUCUUCUCUCUUCCCUCUAAAUUCUUAAAUUCUUCAGCUAUUUCUCCCUUAAUUCUCUGACCAAAACCUCAUAAUCCUACCAGUAACGGACUGCAUUACGUUGGAGAAGACGAUUUACACACACACAAGAUAAUAAAGGCAUUUAAAUCACCUAAUUAAGUUGUAUAGGGAUAAAUAAUUAAAUUACAAAAAGCUCG
rnacentral:lncRNA from 1 species